GUGUCAGCAGCCGCGGUAAUACCAGCUCUCCGAGUGGUGGGGAUGAUUAUUGGGCCUAAAGCAUCCGUAGCCGGCUGGACAAGUCCCCUGUUAAAUCCAACGAUCCAAUCGUUGGUCUGCGGGGGAUACUGUCCGGCUUGGGGGCGGGAGAGGCCGCCGGUAUUUCCGGGGUAGGGGUGAAAUCCUAUAAUCCCGGGAGGACCACCAGUGGCGAAGGCUGUCGGCUAGAACGCGCCCGACGGUGAGGGAUGAAAGCUGGGGGAGCGAACCGGAUUAGAUACCCGGGUAGUCCCAGCUGUAAACGAUGCAGGCUAGGUGUUAGGGCGGCUACGUGCCGCUCUAGUGCCGCAGGGAAGCUGUUAAGCCUGCCGCUUGGGGAGUACGGCCGCAAGGCUGAAACUUAAAUGAAUUGACGGGG
rnacentral:rRNA from 1 species